CAUAACAGGUCCCAUACCUCUACUUUUUUUUUAACAAGCUCACUCGUUACAAGAUUCUACCUCAUGAUCUAAGACUAAGUAUAAUUCCUCAGGUGCAUGGGAAUAAAAAGUCUCUGCUCCCAAUCAUGAUUUGACCCCAGAUUUUCCCAGAGUCAGAAUGCAGUUAUGUACUCACAGUCACAACUUAUGUAGCUGACAAACAUUGCAUUCUACUGUGACGUAAGUGACCAAGCUUAAGUGUUUCACAAUUAUAAUAACAUAUAAACAAUAAGAUAUAGAGGAGGAAAUCUUCAGUCUCUUUGUGCCCUUAUUGCCCAAUAAAUGUGGCCUUUACUCAUAGCAUAUGUCAAUUGGGGGGUCGGGAGUCCAUAUGACUAUUCAACCAGGCUGAAGGGACCUGCCCCAGUUCCAAAGGCAAUCCAACUGCAAAAACGUUUAUAUCAAAAAAUAUAUAUGUCCCAAGGCCUCUUAGAGUAAAAACAAAUAAUUUAUUGCUAAUCACAUUUAAAAAAGUAUUCGGUACAUACUAACCCCCACAUAUCCCACCCCAUGCGUCUCGCACCCUCGGGCGCUUAGUCAUAGGCAUGACACGCUAUUAGUAAUAAAACAUUUGUUCCAGUUCCAUUAACUCAAAGCUAUCAAUCAGUAGUUGCUGGUCUGCUGUUAAAAAGGGAAUAUCUGAUAGGCUGUUGUGACCAACAACACCUGUAGUAAAUCUUGCUGCUACUUUUUCUUCAACCUUGUUACAGGGCCUAGUUACACUGGCAUUUUGGAGUUUAUUUACCUUGUGAGCAGAUUAGAGGCAGGAAGGAAGGAAUUUUCUGUGCGCAGGGGCAUAACCACAGAGGAAGCAGACCCUGCUGCUGUAGGGGGGCCCCAUGAGGCCCUAAUUCAUAUACAUUUUGAAUAAAUACUGGUAAAAUAAAUCAACCUCUAGACAUUUUUGGGGCCUGAAAAACAAUUUGCUGUGGGGCCCAGUAAUAUCUAUUUACGCCACUGUCUGUGUGAAGUGCUGAAUGUGAUGGACAUGUGCCUUUAACCCUCAUGCUAUGAGUUCUCUGUCAGCUUAUCACAACAUGUAUUUUAUUAGUAUGAUGUAGGCGGUAGUAUGGUAAGACAACUUGCCAUUUGUCUUCUUACUUUAUACUGCUUUCUCUCCAGCAACCAAGAGGAAUUUAGGAACUCAGAAUGGGAAGCAGGCUGGGAUUUGCAGCAAAUCCUGCUGAACCAGCCUGACCCAGAAUUACCUGUAAUUACCUAAUUUGCUUCCAUGUGUUGUGACAAGCUUGUGGUGCACACAGAUGCAUAUGUACUCCACGUAUACUAUCUACAUGACCUUUCACUGUAUACAGACAAUAUAACACAUUAUGAAAGUGUUCUGCAAACUUUGCUCUUGGCAGAUAAGUGCUAUUCGUGCAGGUAAGGGCAGAAACUGAAAGCAUGACAUGAAGACGAGCCAGCCUCUCCCUAAAGUGGCAUGUCAGAAUGUAGAAUGAGAGAUUAAAUGCGGUCAGUGAAUGUUCUUCCCCUUCUAAGACAACAAGGCUACAGUCAUGCAUAGGGCUAGGUGCAUAGCCUGUCAGUUAAAGAUUCAGGGCAGAGUAUAACAUUGACAGGCGCAAGUAGGCCUGGCCGGUAAAAUGAUGGCUGAUCCCAAUGUUAUUAAUAGGGAAAAAAGAUAAAUAUAUAGGAAGCCUAUAGCAAUUCCUACAGGGCGCUUGCAGCAGAAUCGCCAAUACACCACGGAAACACCAUAUAAUUGAACUCUUUUAGAUCUGCAGGUUUGGAAAUACAAUUAGCUGAAAUACGCUGCGUAUUUUCAACAUGACGGCCAAACUGUCGCAAGAUGGAUUUCGCAUAUACGUAUUUACGGCGUAUGCUGGUGACGUAAUUAUGUUGCGUAUGGACUAGCAGUACGGCUACAUUCUGCAUGUAAAUUGGUUUCCACUUGGCUUUAUUCGCAAAACUUUACUAAAAAACUAGAAUUGUGGAGAAUGCGAAAAAAAAAAAACCAGAAAUGCAUGUUGGGAAAAGUAAACGACAGGCUGAGAAACGAAUUUUAUUGUAUGUGUGGUUUCACUGGCGUAUUUACGCUCGACCGCGCAUUUUUAAAAACGCCAUGUGUGACCUUGCCCUAAAACUCUUAGCACAUCAUUUUGGGAAUUACACCUCAGAGUAGUAAAAGUUAACUGAACUAGGGAGAGAGGCAAGGGCCAAAAAAUGUUGCUGGGGCCAGUUUUGCACUUCACACAUAUCAGUCAGAAACAGGAAGUGAAGGACAGAAGUCGGAAGUGCACAAGCUGGGGUUAACAAAAUGGUGGCGAUGCCCCAGGGAAAAGCAUUACAAUCUCUUUACACCGCUCAAACUAUCCAGUAGAAUUUAUUGAAGAGACCAGGGUGUCUUCUUUCUGUAGGGACUGGGGUUACAAAAUGUAUUACUCGCCCAGAAUCUCCACAGUUCAUCUGCUCAGCUUGAGAGAAGCGCCCAUUACCUGAGCGAGAGGUGACGGUGCAAUACAAGAGCCUCUCUAAGGCAUUUGAACUGUUUUCUACAUUUAACUACAUAUUGUUUCACUAUCACUCUACAUUACUACAACUUUUUUGUUUUAAAUAAAACAUGCACACUCUCUUCUUUAUACCCAGCAGCAGGGCAGCCGCCAUCAUAGGGGCACAACUGUUCAGAGACCCAGUCAUUUGUCCAAAACAAAUUCUAAACAUUGGCUAAAAUGGUUGCAGUUGAUAUGGUGCUGAGAAGAGAAUGGAGUGCAGGCAGUCCACGCGUUUAGUUGCUGAACAGCGAGACGUUCUAGCCUUCAAUACACCUGCAAUACAACUAAUGACCAGCAGAUGGUGAUUUGUCGCACAAGCGACUCCAAGCGCUUGAAUGAAGUUAAAGGAGUCCGUGCAGCAGCAGCAGCAGGUACAAAAGGAGGAGAGUGAACUGAGCUGCAGUUGGAGACUGUCAGAAGGGGAUACAGCAGGAAUUUGGGUAGAAAAGUGAGAGUGGGGCGGAGGCAAAAGCAGGAAUAGGGGAAUAUUGGAAUCCGGGGCUGGAGCGAGCAGCCAGGAGCAAAGGAGGCGCGUCAGGUAAUAAUAUGAUCCUCUAUCAGUUCCUGUGUAUGUCCAGGGCAGGGGGAGCUGAGAUAUCCUGCAGGACUUUGGGAUGGGGCAAGAUCCGUGUACUGGGGCUGGGGGCUGAUGUAGGCAGUGGCGGAUUAAGGACAUGUGAGGCCGUCCUGUUUUCCGCGGGACACUUUUUUGCCGGCUGUCCCGGAUAGUGGACUCAAUGUCCCGGUCCCGCAUAAGUUGGCAGAAUCAAAACAGGUAAGCAGGGAGUAGUGGGCAGUAUAGAGACGUAGGCAGGGAGUAGCCCACAAGCGCGGCAGGGAGUAGCCCACAAGCGCGGCAGGGAAUUGCACAGCAGCUAAAAAGAACAGCACCGGCCAUGGUAACCCUGCCCUGUUCUACUGCAACUACCACAAAGUUUGCGACUGCGCUAGAGCGGCGUAUGACGUACACUUCUAGCGCUGACACUGCCCCAUAUGGUAAGCAUUUCCGGCGGAAGUGGUAAUAGGCUUCCGCGUCGCGGCAAUUUUGAAUCUCAGUGUUACUUGUUGCUGUUGUUCAUCAUCUUCAGAACAGUGGAAUAACAUAUCAUUAUAUAGGCACAAGAAUGCAGACAAAAACGGGACUUUCCAGUACAAAUGAGGGACUGCAGGUUGAGCUGUCAAAAGAGGGACCUCUAAAAACAGGACAGUUGGGAGAGAAGACGGGGAAUUGGAAGAGGGUGAAGUACAAGAUUUAGGUGUAGAAGAGAAGCCUCGAGAAAUAAGGAAAUAGAAGACCAACGGGAAGUCCACAAAGAGAAAAGAAAGGCCAAAAAAGAAAGGAAAACAUCACAGACAAGAGAAACACAGGAAUGCAGGAACUGGAGGGCAACCACCAUCUCUGCUGUGUAGAACAUGAUUGUCGACAUUGGCAGACCUCCUUCACGCAUAAUCAUUUGCCAUAAAGAUUUCCCACUGGCAUACUCCAGGACAAAGAAGGCUUCAAGCUGGCGAUACACUUGCAUCAAGAGUGGCUGCUUCACAGCUUUCAUGUUUUGGCUGCCCUGAACUAAUCGCUAAAAGUUGGCAAGAUCAUGGGGAUAUUGCUAUGAAACUGCAAACUGAUCUGGAACACCUGAAAAAGAUCCGCGCUAAAGUCUGGAAGCAAAGGAUAUCCAGCCCACUUUUCAACACUAAACAAUACACAAUGGAUCUGGAGAGAUUGUAUUUAGAAAUGUGGGAGCAUUUUGCUGCGGGAAACAACGUGAUCAUCUCAUCAAGCCUGUGGAAAGCGCUGAACUCUCUGCUGGCUCCGAAUAUAUCGGCCAAACAUGUUGGAGAACUGCAGAGCUGACUUUCUGUGCGACAGAAGGAAGUUAUUUUAACACCUGUUGGUCUUUAGACUUUUAGUUUGAGUUUUCUUUUUUUUUUGCUAUUUGCUAAUCUUGCAAGUUGCCAUCCAAAUAUGAUACCAUGGUCAGUUUUACUUUUUCAUAUACAUUUUUAGCCUUGUAUUGCAGUAUAUUUGGGAUUUGAGCUUUUAAACUUAUUCAUUUGUGUUUGUGUCUGCUAGCUCAGUCGCAGCCUAAAACUCUUCACUAACUGCAGGUUAAAUAAUAAAUAAUAAUAAUGGUGUUCUAGUCCUUUUUAAUAUUGUUUAUAAACCACUUGUAGCCUUUUAAUGUCUGCAUCUGUUUACAAGCAAACUGUGUGUGUACGGUUGGUAUAGAUGAGAUGUCUUUAACCCUCCCCCCGUAAAUGUCUGCUUUAUUUGAUUUUCUUACCAGCCUAUUCAUGUCUUGAAUUAAUCCCUGUGUUAAUACAGUGAGAUACGAGCAGCAGUCUCCUUUGCAGGUCUGUGUAACGACAGAUGCGGUGUGCAUGUGGUAUUUGUGUUUGAAGAAAUACAAACCUUUUUUCUGUAUCUACCUUUAAAGGAAUUGUUCAGUGUAAAAAUAAAAACGGGGUAAAUAGAUAGGCUGUGCAAAAUAAA